GACGAACCGUGCGAACGUUGUUCGGAAUUCACUGGGCUUAAAGGGCGCGUAGGCGGCGCAGCAAGUCCGGGGUGAAAGCCCCCAAGCUCAACUGGGGAAGGGCCUCGGAAACUGCUGCGCUCGAGGGAGGUAGGAGGCAGGGGGAACUUCUGGUGGAGCGGUGAAAUGCGUUGAUAUCAGAAGGAACGCCGGUGGCGAAAGCGCCCUGCUGGACCUCUACUGACGCUG
rnacentral:rRNA from 1 species